UAAGACGAAGGUGGCAAGCGUUGUUCGGUAUCACUGGGCUUAAAGAGUGUGUAGGCGGAAAGGUGAGCGUCGCGUGAAAGCCCCCGGCUCAACCGGGGAACGGCUCGACGAACUGCCUUUCUUGAGGCAAGCAGGGGUGCGUGGAACUCUUGGUGGAGCGGUGGAAUGCGUAGAUAUCAAGAGGAACGCCGGUGGUGUAAACGGCGCACUGGGCUUGUUCUGACGCUGAGACACGAAAGCGUGGGUAGCGAACGGGAUUAGAUACCCCGGUAGUCCACGCCGUAAACGAUGCCUACUAGGUUGUGGAGGUUCUGACACCUGCACGGCCGAAGCAAAAGUGUUAAGUAGGCCGCCUGGGGAGUACGGUCGCAAGGCUA
rnacentral:rRNA from 1 species